rnacentral:rRNA from 1 species
CCCUUAGAUGUUCUGGGCCGCACGCGCGCUACACUGAUGCAUUCAACGAGUUUCUUCCUGGUCCGAGAGGAAUGGGUAACCUUUUGAAAGUGCAUCGUGAUAGGGAUAGACUAUUGCAAUUAUUGGUCUUCAACGAGGAAUUCCUAGUAGACGUAGUUCAUCAGACUGCAUCGAUUACGUCCCUGCCCUUUUUACACACCGCCCGUCGCUCCUACCGAUUGAAUGCUCAGGUGAGCCAUUCGGACUUUCAUCAUGCUGGUUUCCAGUUUUGAUGAAGGAAAGUCUUGCGAACCUUAUCAUUUAGAGGAAGGAGAAGUCGUAACA